AUCCUUUCCUUAUGAAGACCCAGGGGAUUGCUUACUUAGCAUCCACCAGAGGCAAUGGAUAGGGUGAGCAGUCACUGCAGCCAGAAAAGCCCAGCACGGAGCAAAGGCAAUUACCUCCGCACGCAGAGACUUUGGAGCUGAAUUGUGCUGAACGGAGAACCCCUCCGGCUGGCAGAGCCAUGUGCGGCCGAGAAGAGCAGCCACUUUCGCUCCGCUGAAAAGCAAUGCAAGCACACCAGGGAUAAGAACUGCUUUCAGGUCUGGGUGGACGUGAACCUGAGCGGAGCCUGAAGGCGUUAAAGCCACGCUGACCAACAAAACUUUUAAAAUAUGACUAUGGUGAGGAUUUUAGCUCCACGAUGCUGCCAUGCCGGGAUGUGACAGGCUUCCCACCCAGGUCUGGAAGGUGGUCAACGAUGUUAGCAGCAAACAUAAACCCCGAUGAGGAGCAGCAUGAGCCAUGGAGGGACCCACCCCAGAGCCCGCAUAUGUUGAUGUGGACAAGGGACUGACACUAGCAUGUUUUGUCUUCCUCUGCCUUUUCUUGAUUGUGAUGAUAAUUCGCUGUGCAAAAGUCAUCAUGGACCCUUACAGUGCCAUCCCCACAUCCACAUGGGAGGAGCAGCACCUGGAUGACUGAAGGGGCUUGAUUACACAGAGCCAUAAGAUGCUGCAAUCUAGGAGGCCUCUGCCUAUCAGGAAGGCAAGCAGAAACAGCCAUUUUCAGAUAUGCAGGAUGACGGCAAUAUAUUUAAGAGCCAAUAGUUCAUGUGAUUAUUGCUCAAUAGACCAGAACAUCAACAAGCCAUUCUGGAAGCACAAUAAUACUAUGCAGCAACCCUCAUCUUAAUGAAGAUGGUCAUCAUAUAGCUCAGUAGCACAACGUCCUCCAGACUUUUCCUAUAGCUACAGCACAGUUUGCCCUCAAUGUCUCCCACAAAUUCAGGGCUUUAUUCAGAAAUUGGAAUUUGAUAAAGCAAUCAGAAUGUCUUCCCUGAAUACAAGAUUACUUCAAUUACCUUUCUGAGUCAUUAUAUUUGUGCUUGGAAGAAAGGCAAAGUUCUACAGUUUUGUCUCCCCAAGUACUGUUAGGUAGAAUCAUAAAAUCAUCAAGGCUGGAAAGACCAACAGGGUUGUCUAGCCCAGUCAUCAGCCCAGGAGAAGGAGCACUUGAGCACCAUGGCUAUGAGCAAGUUUAUUCCCAAUGAAAUAAGUUGUGCCCAUAUGCCCCCCCACCACAGCACUGUCAUAUUUUUAGUGAUCAAGGUACAGAAGUACUCAAACUGAAGUUCCCAAGGGGGCUGUGGGCUAUGGUUGACUCUGCAGCAUGACCUUUCUCUAUCCUACUCAUGGAUAACUAGAUAUGUUGACAUCUGCCAUGGGUCCAUCAAUCAGCCAGAUCUCUUGCAAUGAGCUCGGUAGCCACAGUUCACAGAGCAGAGCUUGGACACCACUGGCUUCAAACUACACAACUUGCAACGUUUAUCAAAGAGUGAUUCCACACUAAACUUCAUUCAUCUCUCAUUUUAGCCACAGUUCAGUGAGAUCACACAUAGAUGUUAAAGACAAUAAGCAAAGACGUUCCCAGCUUUGUCAGUCAGAUUUGUUAGCCCAAGUUACAGUAGCAACAACAUUCAUUCUACCUCGAACAAAUUCAGUACCUUUCAAAUACUUUUUCCCCAUGUUUUCGGUGAUGAUCUAUGUAUAUCAUUUACUCAAUGCAUUAAGAAAGCCAUUUUGAAAGAAGUGAAAAA